GGAGGCUGGGGUGGGAGGAUCCCUUGAGCCCAGGAAUUUUGAGGCUGCUGUGAGCCACGAUCAUGCCACUGCACUCUCUGGACUGGGUGACAGAACAAGACCCUUCCACUUAAAAAAAAAUGAUGAUUGAUCUGUCAUUUAGUUACUGUUAAAAAAAAUGAGUUUAAUGUUUGAAAGGAAUAUAAUUAAAAGCAUGAAACAGAUAUGUUUAUAUAUUUUUUUAGGUGUUCCUCCAAGAAAAGCUGGUUAUAUUGAAGACCUGGUUUUGAUGCUGCCUCAGAACAUUUGGGAUAACCUAUAUAGCAGGUAUGGUGGAGGACCAGCUGUCAACCAUCUGUACAUUUGUCAUACUUGCCAAAUUGAGGCGGAAAAAAUUGAAAAAAGAAGAAAAACUGAAUUGGAAAUUUUUAUUCGGGUAAAAAAGUGAUGCUUUUCAAAUUGAUCUAGGAUAAAGAUGAAGACCUGACAAUUAUCAGAGUUAUAUGAUAUUAAUAAAAUGAUUGGAUGAAAGAGUUGUAAUAGAUUUCAAGUGUUCUAGGUGCAUAAUGGUGAAUGACCUCAGGCAGUUCACUACAGUUCUGUUGAGUUAUGUUCUCCCUUUGUGUGUUUUUUUUUUUUUUGUGUAUGUGUUUAUGAGACAAAAUCUUGCUCUGUCGCCC
rnacentral:sRNA from 1 species